UUAUUAUUAUAUUAUUGCAUUUUUCCUAAACUUCGUCAAGCCUAUCCGCUCAUUUGUUCCAAACCAGAGUUUCUAGUUUCAAGAUCGCGCUUUUAGUACGCGUGUGGUGAGAUGUUCCAAGCCCGGUAUCUACUGAUUUUGCCAUUCCUAUGAUUCAAAGGAUUCACCAGCUAUAGGGCAGUUAGCGCAGACAUCAAGUAAGGGCUCGUAGGCUACUCAUGCCAAAUAUCCGAUUUUUUGGCAGUUAGCGCAGACAGCAAGUAAGGGCUCGUAUGCUACUCAUUUUUCAAGGGGAAGAGAAGAGCUCCAGGUCAAGCCUCUUAUUAUAUUUAUUCUAUUGGGUCUACCCGUUGGGCCGGUAAGCGAGACAGAAGUCUCACUGUUCGUGGUGUUGCAAUGAAUUCAUUGGAUGAUAAUAGCAUAUAAAGAUUUUCUUACUACUUCCUCCUCUAUCUAAGUGUCAUGUUUUAGCUCAUAGGUGGUUCGUUUUGAAGUGACUUCAUCUAUAUGUUUAACACAUGCGUGUACUACUCGUUGUGUAGUAAAAUUUCCUGUCAGUCACGAUUGGAUUUGAAUCAAUAUAAAGCUUAGUAGAUCGUGAGUCUUGGUUCUUAGCGAAAUGCUACGCGCUAUCUUACAUACCAGUAAAAUUUCCAGUUAGUCACGAUUGGAUUUGAAUCAAUAUAAAGCUUAGUAGAUCG
rnacentral:lncRNA from 1 species